AUAGAAUUUAAUUAAAAAUAUUUGUUUUUUAAAUUUGGGUGGUGUGGAGGCUUGCUGUUUUUGAUGCUUUGUAUGUGUGGGGCUUUCGAGGGCUUGUUUUGACGUGUGCUGGUGUUGCAUCACGGUGGAGGGCGGUAGUGGCUGGGUGGAGGUUUUGACAUGGGAGAGCAUUUGUAGAAAAAAAUAUCGGGGGUGGAGAUUUUAAAAUGGCGCGAGAAAGUAUCAUUUUCCUAAACUUUUUCCAUGACUAACCUUACAUCAAUUCUUCUAAAAGAAAAAUAUCUAAAAACAAAUCAAAGCACAACAAACAUGGAAAAUUCAGCUUUUAUCAUUCAAUUUCACUUCCUCAAAACUCAUGCACUUACGUUCAUUUGGAGUAAAAGUUGGUAGCAGAUCAUUUUAUCGUUCCACCCAAAGAUUAAUCAAAGUUGAAGAAUUCAAGCGAGAGAAAUUGACAUGUUAUAUAUAUAUAGUAUUUAUUAUUCUGUAUAAAUAUUUUGAAUAAUAUUAAAUAAGUAAUAAGUAAAAAAUAUAUUUAUAAUAUACCUAUCGUGGAUUAACGGCCGGCCAUGAUCAUGUGACUCUGAGUACUAAAACUGUAAUGUAAAAUGGGAGCAUUAAUGCUACAUGAGGCAGUGUUUGGUUACAAACACUUUCUCGAUGAACGGGAAGAGCAUCAAGAUCACACUCUCUCAACAUGAAUUGACAACUGAUCCAAAAAAAUAAUGCAUUGAAAUUCUAAAUAAAGUUUUUUUCAACCCAAUAAUUGCAAUGCCUCGCCCUUUAUGCCUCUCAAGGGGAACAGUAUCUAUUUUUUAAUUAAUUUUUUUGUACGACCCUAUGCUCCUUAUCUCCUUUGCUCCUCAGCCUACCCUCCAAAAGACAGCGCAUGAGAAAAGAGAGAUCAGACAGAUCAGUCAGAAGUAUAGCCACAGGCCCACAGUACCUCAGACUCUUCCCCCCCAACUCGUCCCUGCUGCCAGGGCCGCCCUAUAUUGCAACCACCUGUAACCCUAAAUACACUCCCUUUAAUCGUCUAUUUCUCCUAGCUGCUCCUUGGCCAGCAGUUCAGCCCUUUUUUCCUUGUCUUGCUUUCUUCGCCAGCCAAGCCCACAUGCUGUAUCCUGAAUCCACGUUCUUUAUUUCCCUGUUCCCUUUAUGAUUCUCUUUAUCUUCCUCUUUAAAUUCUGUCUCAAAGUCCUUUGGGUAAGUUCAAAACUCUCACCCGUGCCUUUCUGCAACAAACCAUGCGCUCUUCUCUCUAAUAACCAAGCUCUUUGGUUAAAUUACUUCUACUUUUAUUUGUCUUAAUGUUCGUUCCCCUUCCCCAUCUCUCGUCCUUUGAUUUUGUUUCGUUAGAUUGCCUUAUUAUAUUUAUAGCAUCCGUAUUACCUUUAAAGCUUCGUGUCUUUCUUCUUCACCCGAUUCUUCUUUGAAGUUGUUGGUCACACUUUCUCUCGUUAUACACAAUAAAAAGAAGUAAAAAAGAAAAAGGAUUCUUCGAUGCAUGCAUGCGUACGUUUUCUUCUUUAUAAAAAAAAAAGGUUCGUGAAAUCUCUUUUCUUGAUCAAUCUCUUCGCCUAGCUGUUCUAGAGUACCAUCUACUUUCUUAUUAUAAAUUCACAUGCUCGUGGAUGCAAGGGAGUUGCCCUAAUCUUCCGUUAAAGUACACAUGCAAGAGAUGUUCGCAAAGGAAAAAGUGAAGCUGCCAGCAUGAUCUAGCUCUGGUUAGAGAUGGAUUAUAUCAGAUCAGAUGAAACUAACCCUAACUAGGUCAUGCUCUGACAGCUUCACUCCUUCCUAAGUUGGGGACGGGAUAGAUUCCAUACACAAUUCAAACCUGAUAAGAGAGAGAAGCAAAAAGUAGCUCCAGAAGGAUAUUCUUCUUUCGUGGAAAAUUCUUCAGACCAAAGUACCGGAAAAUGUUGGAUUACAAUAAUUUUUGUGUCUUUGCUCAGCUUGCUGCCUGCUGCCAUGGCUGAUCUCACAAAGCUAGGUCUUGAUGAUCUUACGUCUAAGCAUUUGAUACUUUUUGGAACCAAAGAAAAAUGUAUAUAUCACAAAUUUUCUGUUUUUGGGUACAAUAUCAUUACUGUCAUAUUACUCGUAUGAUCAGAAUCAUAAAACUUGAUGUAGAAUUCAUGGUGUCAUUAUUUAUAUAAUAAUCAAGGAGUAUAAUAAUAUCGUAUCUUUUACUUCGAAAA